ensembl:lncRNA
CUUUGGACCUAAAGGGUCAUGUGGUAGAGAUCUGGGAAACACUGCUUUUGUACGGAAAGCCACUGUGGUUCUCCUCUUUGCAGCCAGCACAGGGUGCCUGGGAUAAGCAGGCAGACAGGCAUCUGAAGAAAGCAGGAGCAGGUGUGAAAGCAAAUCAUCCAGCAUCUCUCGUUCUUGCCAUUAUUUUGAGUUUCUGCACGGAUUCACACUGUGAUUGGGCCAAUGCACCCCGUCUCAGCUCAGCCCACAGCCCUGGCAGCCCCGUGGGGCAGGGUGGGCCUUCUGCUGGCAGAAGAGAUGAUGAAGGGAGAAUUCAAUGGAGAUCUAUAAAAUCCCGAGCGGGUCUGAGAAACAGCCUGAGCUCACUUCCCUUUCUUCCUUCUGCCCUGGAAUGGUGAGAGCAGCUCCGAGGCAGAGCAAGAGGAUGCCAACCAGCUGUCAGAGGAUGUGUUUGAGCUGUGUACUGAGCUCCUCUGUGGGAGCUGGGGCAGGCAGGAGCAGGAGAGCAACAUCCUCAUGCCUGGGGUGGGAUGGAGGGCUGAGAAGCUUCAGAGAGAUUUCCUGCUGCCAGGACACAGGAAAGGGAGUUAAACAAUUGAAUAGAACAAAAAAUAUAUAUUUAAUAUAUAUUUUUUUCUCAGGCUUCAGCAGAAUGCCCGGGUAGGGUAAAUCAUUAAAGGCAGACGUGUUUCUUGCUUGUGUGCCCUGCUCUGCCUGUGUUAAGAGGCCUUUUUUUUUUCUUCUUCUUUUGUUUUUCUUUUCUAUUUGCCACACAGAGAGAAGGAUCUGGGAUGAGAAAACACUCAGCAAACUACAGAAUCAGAUAAGUGCCCUGAGCACAAAAACACAGCAGUGGCUUUGGCCUUGGCAUGUGGCCAGCUUGCCCCUAUUCUGCUUGGGCAGUGAAGCACAGCACAAAGGACAGCUUGAAAGGGAGAGUUCAUUAAGAAGAGCAUGGGGCAGUUCGGUCGCUUUGGUUUUGUGUUGGUCCUCCUCUCUACUGCCACACUUUGGUUCAGGCAGGAAGGGCUGGAGUGCAAGUGCUGCUACUCGGCCACAGCAGCAGCCUGAAAGGAGCGAGAAGAAAUUCAGGGUUUGCAUCCGAAAACAAACGCUACUGGAAAUGAAACAGUCUGUUUCAAAGGCUGCUGAAACAUCUUUUCUUU